CUUCAGUGAGCCCAUCCACAGGGGGUGGUCCGCGGGCCGGUCCCGGCCGUAGGUGGCGAGUACGGCCUGGGCCUC
rnacentral:antisense_RNA from 1 species